rnacentral:ncRNA from 1 species
AUUAAACCAUGCAUGUCUAAGUACAUACCCCGAAAACGGUGAAACCACGAAUGGUUCAUUAAAUCAGCUAUGGUUCCUUAGAUCACAUAAACUACAUGGAUAACUGUAGUAAUUCUAGAGCUAAUACAUACAAUUAUGCCCUGACCCGCAAGGGAAUGGGUGCAUUUAUUAGAACAGAACCAAGUGGGGGCAGUUUCGGCUUUCUCUGUUGAAUUCUGUGAUGACUCUGGAUAACUUUAAUGAUCGCAAUCGGCCUUGUGUCUGCGACGGAUCUUUCAAAUGUCUGCCCUAUCAAUUUAUUGGUAGGUGAUCUGCCUACCAUGAUAAUAACGGGGGAACGGGUAUUUAGGAUCCGAUUCCGGAGAGGACUUAUAUUACUUAUAAUUUUUAAGAAUGACUCCUGGUC